GGAGAGUAGAGGAAAGACAGGAGAUGGUUGUUGGCAAGGGCAGGGCGACCGUCCGGCCGAGGCCCGACGUGCUGGGCUGGGGGGUGGGCGGUGCCCACUUGAAGUUCAAGGUCAUAAACUUAACUGGAGCCAAUCCAAAUCCACUGCCCAAGCAAAAGCGUAUCUAAGAAAAAGAAAAAUAACUCGAAGCCUCCAAGACACAUAAAAUCCAGAAUGGACUGACAACGGUGAAGAAGGGUAGAGCUUUUCAGAAAGAUGACCCUCGAUUCAGGGCUUAGCCAUUCUUGUACAUGGAGCCAAGUUCAUUUUACCCGCAACUGACUUACAAGUGUCUCAUAACUCUGGACUCGUAACGGACACCACAAAAGCCCGUUCAAUGUCCAGUUGCUGGGAUGAGCCUAGUGGACAAAACGUCAAGCCAAUGGCAUGAGGACUGUGGUUUCAAUCAAGACCUGUCCCCCCAGAGCAGGGCUGCCCCAGCCCAUCCAUCUGGCAUCUCCGAGUAUCGGCAUCUUCUCUGAAAAUGAGAAUCAGAAGGUGUGUGAGCAAAGUUUGUUGUGUUAAUCGAAAAUAUGUUAAUUUUCUGCAUUUCAAUAACUUCAAGCUUAGCCUGAGAACCUUCCAAGCUGUAGAAAACCUCCUUGACUAAGAGUCCACCUGCACAAGGACCUCCGCCUUCUGAACACAAACGAGCUGGAAUAGACCAUAAAGAAGGAGGGGGACCCUGGGGCCAGGAAGCUGGUCCUUCACAAGUAGGUCAGUGAUGGGGAUGCAGCUGGGGGCACAUGACACGAUGACAUUUCAUCUGGGUCUGAAAUACUCAGGCCCAGGCCCCCGAGAGUCCUGCAAACAGCGAAUCAGAAGGACCGCAGAGACUGAACAGGUGGCUCUUGGCUGCUUGGAUGAGGGAGGGGAGAGGAGAGAGAAGAUGCUGGGGGCCACCCCAGGGGCCCUGCGCUGGAGACAGGUCCCGGGGCCCAGACUGUCUCACCCGAGAUGCGUCUUCCAUAACCUCCUUGGCAAGUCAGUCCUGAGCAUGAGCCUAGAGAAACCCCUUCACCAGGCCUGCCGUGGAGAAGGCCCUUCAAAGCCUCCCUCAGAAGAACGAGAAGCAUCCAAUGCUCCAUCAGUGGUGCCAUUACUAAUCAAAUUUAAAAGGAUUAAUGAGGGACCUCCCGUCAUGGCGCAGCGGACACGAAUCCGACUAGGAACCGUAAGGUUGUCGGUUCGAUCCCAGGCCCCGCUCAAUGGGUUAAGGAUCCAGCGUUGCCAUGAGCUGUGGUGUAGGUCGUGGACGCGGCUUGAAUCUGGCGUUACUGUGGCUGUGCCACAAGCUGACAGCUAUAGCUCCGAUAAGACCCCGAGUCUGGGAACCUCCACAUGCUGCAAGUGUGGCCCUAAAAAGACAAAAAGACUAAAAUAAAAUAAAAAUAAAACAAAAUAAAAUAAAAAGUUUAAAAUAAAGUAGGAAAGCCUCUUGGAGGAAAGAAUGAAAGAUCUGUGUUAUAGUGACAAUGACAGAAAUGAAAAGCAUUUUGCCAAGAUUUUGCACCUGUGACAAGCCAGGCCAAGUCACAGACUUCGAAAAGAAUGGGCUCCUUUGGACGGGCGUGUCUGCACACCGAGGUCUAACCACUGGGGCAGUUCUACCCUAUUAGGUGAAGAAGAAACCCCCUCAUCUUGUUGUGGCUUGUGCCGCCCUGCAGGGCUGGGAUUGGGCAGAGAAAGCCUGUGUUUACGUGCGACUUUAAUUUGAUUUACUGUCCCUGACAAGCCCGCCUGAACCCAGCGCUCUGUCUCAGCAGGGUCCCUGCCUCGCCUCUCCUGCUCUGCAAGAACUCGAAAGCAGGAGCUGGCAGGUGGAUGCCGAGGGGGACUUCGCCUCCCUUCAUGCUUGCCCAGGGCAAGUGGAACCAAGCCCGACUGCUUCAGAACCUUUCCUGGGCACGGGCUAAAGGCGCUUGGUGUCACGGUGUCACUGGAGGUGGCCUGAGGGGCAGACAGAUUCACCAGCGAUGGCUGCAUCUUGGGAGCUCAGCUCUGUGAAGCGGCAGUGUCAGCCCCGUGCGAGCUCCCCGCCAUCUGGGGAGGGGACACUGUGCUUGGAAAGUCAGAAGACAGGAAAGCAUCUGCGCCCUCCUCCUCCCGAGGCCCUCAGUGUCCUGCCUCCUCUCUGAGGCUGUCUGUGUUCAAACCUGCCCUGGGCCCUGUCACCGGAACAAAAGAUGGAAUUUCGCAUUUCUACCUCCUCAUUUCCUAGAAUUUCAGCUGCCUUCAUGGUUCUCC
rnacentral:lncRNA from 1 species